rnacentral:rRNA from 1 species
ACCCGCUGAACUUAAGCAUAUCAAUAAGCGGAGGAAAAGAAACCAACAGGGAUUGCCUCAGUAACGGCGAGUGAAGCGGCAAAAGCUCAAAUUUUAAAUCUGGCGUCUUUGGGCGUCCGAGUUGUAAUUUGGAGAGGCAUCUUCGGUUUGGGCUCCAGUCUAACGCCCUUGGAACAGGGGGUCACAGAGGGUGAGAAUCCCGUGUCCGGCUGGCAGCUUCUUUCCAUGUGAAGUGUCUUCUACGAGUCGAGUUGUUUGGGAAAUGCAGCUCAAAAAUGGGUGGUAAAUUUCAUCUAAAGCUNAAUACUGGCGAGAGACCGAUAGCGCACAAGUAGAGUGAUCGAAAGAUGAAAAGCACUUUGAAAAUAGAGUUAAAAAGUACGUGAAAUUGUUGAAAGGGAAGCGCUUGAGACCAGACUGGGUCGGGUUUGUUCGGUUUCCCUUCUGGGGUUCCUAUUCACUUCCCGUGCCCGGCCAGCAUCGGUUGGGGUGGCGGGAUAAAGGCUUGGGGAAUGUGGCUCCUUUCGGGGAGUGUUAUAGCCCCGGGUGCAAUGCCGCCCACCUCGACCGAGGACCGCGCUUCGGCUAGGAUGCUGGCGUAAUGGUCUU